rnacentral:rRNA from 1 species
UCGGGUGACGAGUGGCGGACGGGUGAGUAAUGUCUGGGAAACUGCCCGAUGGAGGGGGAUAACUACUGGAAACGGUAGCUAAUACCGCAUAAUGUCGCAAGACCAAAGAGGGGGACCUUCGGGCCUCUUGCCAUCGGAUGUGCCCAGAUGGGAUUAGCUAGUUGGUGAGGUAAUGGCUCACCAAGGCGACGAUCCCUAGCUGGUCUGAGAGGAUGACCAGCCACACUGGAACUGAGACACGGUCCAGACUCCUACGGGAGGCAGCAGUGGGGAAUAUUGCACAAUGGGCGCAAGCCUGAUGCAGCCAUGCCGCGUGUGUGAAGAAGGCCUUCGGGUUGUAAAGCACUUUCAGCGGGGAGGAAGGCAAUGCGGUUAAUAACCGUGUUGAUUGACGUUACCCGCAGAAGAAGCACCGGCUAACUCCGUGCCAGCAGCCGCGGUAAUACGGAGGGUGCAAGCGUUAAUCGGAAUUACUGGGCGUAAAGCGCACGCAGGCGGUCUGUCAAGUCGGAUGUGAAAUCCCCGGGCUCAACCUGGGAACUGCAUUCGAAACUGGCAGGCUUGAGUCUUGUAGAGGGGGGUAGAAUUCCAGGUGUAGCGGUGAAAUGCGUAGAGAUCUGGAGGAAUACCGGUGGCGAAGGCGGCCCCCUGGACAAAGACUGACGCUCAGGUGCGAAAGCGUGGGGAGCAAACAGGAUUAGAUACCCUGGUAGUCCACGCCGUAAACGAUGUCGACUUGGAGGUUGUGCCCUUGAGGCGUGGCUUCCGGAGCUAACGCGUUAAGUCGACCGCCUGGGGAGUACGGCCGCAAGGUUAAAACUCAAAUGAAUUGACGGGGGCCCGCACAAGCGGUGGAGCAUGUGGUUUAAUUCGAUGCAACGCGAAGAACCUUACCUGGUCUUGACAUCCACGGAAUUUGGCAGAGAUGCCUUAGUGCCUUCGGGAACCGUGAGACAGGUGCUGCAUGGCUGUCGUCAGCUCGUGUUGUGAAAUGUUGGGUUAAGUCCCGCAACGAGCGCAACCCUUAUCCUUUGUUGCCAGCGGUCCGGCCGGGAACUCAAAGGAGACUGCCAGUGAUAAACUGGAGGAAGGUGGGGGAUGACGUCAAGUCAUCAUGGCCCUUACGACCAGGGCUACACACGUGCUACAAUGGCAUAUACAAAGAGAAGCGACCUCGCGAGAGCAAGCGGACCUCAUAAAGUAUGUCGUAAUUCGGAAUUGAAGUCUGCAACUCGACUCCAUGAAGUCGGAAUCGCUAGUAAUCGUGGAUCAGAAUGCCAC